rnacentral:rRNA from 1 species
UUAAAUUGAAGAGUUUGAUCAUGGCUCAGAUUGAACGCUGGCGGCAGGCUUAACACAUGCAAGUCGAACGGUAACAUGAGUGCUUGCACUUGAUGACGAGUGGCGGA